GGUUAAGUGACUAAGCGUACACGGUGGAUGCCUUGGCAGUCAGAGGCGAUGAAGGACGUAGUAACUUGCGAUAAGCGUAGAUGAGGCAGUAACAGCCACUUGAGUCUACGAUUUCCGAAUGGGGAAACCCACUGGCAUAAGCCAGUAUCAUUGAGUGAAUACAUAGCUCAAUGAAGCGAACCGGGAGAACUGAAACAUCUAAGUACCCCGAGGAAAAGAAAUCAACCGAGAUUCCGAAAGUAGCGGCGAGCGAAAUUGGAUUAGCCCUUAAGCUUUACAUGUGUUAGACGAACGGUCUGGAAAGUCCGACGAUACAGGGUGAUAGUCCCGUAGUUGACGAUGCAUGUUCAGUGAAAUCGAGUAGGGCGGGACACGUGUUAUCCUGUCUGAAUAUGGGGGGACCAUCCUCCAAGGCUAAAUACUCCUGACUGACCGAUAGUGAACCAGUACCGUGAGGGAAAGGCGAAAAGAACCCCUGUGAGGGGAGUGAAAUAGAACCUGAAACCGUGUACGUACAAGCAGUAGGAGCACCUUCGUGGUGUGACUGCGUACCUUUUGUAUAAUGGGUCAGCGACUUAUAUUCAGUGGCAAGGUUAACCAUCUAGGGGAGCCGUAGGGAAACCGAGUCUUAACUGGGCGCCAUAGUCUCUGGAUAUAGACCCGAAACCGAGUGAUCUAGCCAUGGGCAGGUUGAAGGUUGAGUAACAUCAACUGGAGGACCGAACCGACUAAUGUUGAAAAAUUAGCGGAUGACUUGUGGCUAGGGGUGAAAGGCCAAUCAAACUCGGAGAUAGCUGGUUCUCCCCGAAAGCUAUUUAGGUAGCGCCUCGGACGAAUACUACUGGGGGUAGAGCACUGUUAAGGCUAGGGGGUCAUCCCGACUUACCAACCCUUUGCAAACUCCGAAUACCAGUAAGUACUAUCCGGGAGACACACGGCGGGUGCUAACGUCCGUCGUGGAGAGGGAAACAACCCAGACCGCCAGCUAAGGUCCCAAAUUACAGCUAAGUGGGAAACGAUGUGGGAAGGCUUAGACAGCUAGGAUGUUGGCUUAGAAGCAGCCAUCAUUUAAAGAAAGCGUAAUAGCUCACUAGUCGAGUCGGCCUGCGCGGAAGAUGUAACGGGGCUAAGUUGUAAACCGAAGCUGCGGCAAUGUUCUAUGAACAUUGGGUAGGGGAGCGUUCUGUAAGCCGUUGAAGGUGUGUUGUAAAGCAUGCUGGAGGUAUCAGAAGUGCGAAUGCUGACAUGAGUAACGACAAGGGGGGUGAAAAACCUCCCCGCCGGAAGACCAAGGGUUCCUGUCCAACGUUAAUCGGGGCAGGGUAAGUCGACCCCUAAGGCGAGGCUGAAAAGCGUAGUCGAUGGGAAACGGGUUAAUAUUCCCGUACUUCUUACAAUUGCGAUGGGGGGACGGAGAAGGCUAGGUGGGCCUGGCGACGGUUGUCCAGGUUCAAGUGCGUAGGCU
rnacentral:rRNA from 1 species